CUGUUCUUUACCACUUUGUUGAUUUAGUUAUUGCUAUUUGCCUCCACUGAUAUGGAUAGGUCAGGGAGGACUUGGAGUUUUAGUCUUCCCCCCACCUCUUACAUAUGCUAAAUGCAUCUCAAAUAUUGGUUAAGUGAGUGAGUGGAUACAAAGGUACUUGCGAAGUGCCCUGAGAGCACAGAAGGAAUUAUUAGAUCUCAAUGUGGGCACUGUGGAAGAUUUCAUGGUGGAGAUGGCAGAUGCAUCAUGCCCUGAGGGAGAAGCAUUGUUUUGAUGAAUGACCCUAUGACCAAGCAGUUUUUCUCCACUGCUGUGGCUAGGAUGAUUCUGAAUUAGGAUGUCAAUUAUCCAUUGAGGAUUUGAAUGUCAUAAUGUAUCUGGGUGACUUGGAUGGGUCUUAGCCUACUUUUGAUGUCUGUGGAUUUGAUUUAGCUAAUAACAAUACUAGACUUCACUGAGCCAUAGUUUACAAAGUGUAGUUUAAGAUGUGGAAGAGAUAAAGGUAUUUAGAUUUUUAAACAUUUCAGAGGAGACAGGUAUCCUGUUGUAGCAUGUGGCUAUUGUAAAAGACUGCCUGUGUUUCUUGAGGAUCAGUUGAAGAAGUGUAUCUUGGGGCUGGUCCCUCUCAGAGAACAGGUAGGGAUGCCAAAGACUGGGAAGUUUUAACCGGGAGAAAAGUGGUAUCAGGAAAGAAGAGUGAAGAGGGACCCUCUAGGUUGAGCUAAUAGCUGAGAUCUGGAGGAAUUAACACAUACAGUGUGUCCAGGGCAUGGUGAGCUGCCCUGUGGGUGGCUAGAGCAGAGUACAGUACAUGAGGAAGGAAGUUGUAGGUAAUGCCUGAAAGGUAGAAUGGGCUGGAAUGUGGAGGACUCUGAAUGCAGGGUACCCAUUGCAUAGUGCUACACACAAUAUUCAUUCUAGAAUCCAACUCCAGAUAGGCAAUUGAUUUUACACCAUUUUGUCCAGUUAGGGCCUUUAGAGGGGAUUCCUUUAGAAACCAGGCUCUGCUGUCUUUCCAUUUUACUGAUGGGGAACCUGAGAUCAAGAGAGGGUACCUUGCCCCCAGGAUCACACUUGGAAUGGUCAAAGAGUAGCUUGUCCAGGUUAUUGUGAAUCUUUUCUUGACCUGUAGGUACCAUACUAGCUACCACAUCCUGCUACAUAACACUUGGUAACAUGAGUAAGUAACAUGGGUAAUGGCCAGCAGGCACCUCUGGGAUGCUGCAAUAUACAUUUUCCUUCAUUUGCUCUAAGGAUCCAUUGACUUAAUCUCCUUCAAUAGUUAGGACUCACAGCCCUUGGUGUUGGCAGCUUAGCCAUUAUAUCCUCUUCUCAUAUUUAAAAUUGAAUUCACCAUUCUUGCUGUGUAAAUCUCUGGAAACAAUCUGCUCUAUAAAGGGCACUUUGGCAAGGCUGUAACUCCAGCCUGAUUUGAGAUGCUGCUGUAAUUAGUUAUAGGUCGGCAUUAGCUAAAUUGAAUGUAAUCCAUCAUGCUUAUUGGAUGUGGUGGGGGAUAUACGUACCCUGAAGGGUCAGCAAGAAAGACACAUUAAAUAUCAGAUGAGCCGAGUAUUUGCCCAGGAAGGUGAAUAUACAGGGCAGGCCAGUAUGUUCAUUACACAGCAGCUUUUCUGCAACUACACAGAAGAAAUGGUAGGGACUAGGAAAGAGAAAACACUUAGAAACUUUUAAAAUAAAUUGGGCUAGUUACAAAGUGCCGCUUAUAAAAAUCAAAAUCAAACGGUAAUUUAUGAGAGUGGAAAAUAAAAUAAGUCACUCAUCAGGUAGUUAUGAAAUAUUUCUCAGGAAGCAUGGAACUCCUAGGCACAGGUAUCUCAAUACCUAUAGAUUAUCCUGGGAGCCUCAAUGGUUUUCACUGCAUUUGGGAACUUCGACUGUUUUAAAUCUCCUGAAGUGCUACACACAAGAUACUCCAAAUUAUAAUGGCUUGGCAGCUUUUUUCUCACUUCUGUUCCUUGGCAACAACAACAAAAUCCCUUUAUUAAGAGCCUGAUGUUAAGAAGUACUAGGGCAUCUCAGGGGUACAGUUCUUUAGACUCCCCAUUUUAGAGGAUAUGCUCUUGAAGACAGCACUGUUGUGGCUGGCUACAUAGAUGUCAGAAGCAACUCAAUAUUUGAGUAUGGAAAUUGAUAGAUUCUAUCACUGGUUGGUUUGUGUAUAUCCCAGCUGAGGAGUAAAUCUAAGCUCAAGAAAAUUCACAGACUGGCUUUGAUAUCUAUUUUGAUUCACAAAAGUAGUAUUUGGUGUCUUUUACCUUUGUUUUUGCUUCAUGAACACAUUGGAAGUUUGUUAAAAAAUUUAUCCACAGCACAAGUUAA